rnacentral:rRNA from 1 species
UACGAAGGGGGCUAGCGUUGCUCGGAAUCACUGGGCGUAAAGGGUGCGUAGGCGGGUCUUUUAAGUCAGGGGUGAAAUCCUGGAGCUCAACUCCAGAACUGCCUUUGAUACUGAGGAUCUUGAGUUCGGGAGAGGUGAGUGGAACUGCGAGUGUAGAGGUGAAAUUCGUAGAUAUUCGCAAGAACACCAGUGGCGAAGGCGGCUCACUGGCCCGAUACUGACGCUGAUGCACGAAAGCGUGGGGAGCAAACAGG